UGGUGGUGUGAAUUGUCUGGUUGAUUCCGUUAACGAACGAGACCUUGACUUCUAAAUAGACACUGGAAGAUCCUGCGCUAAGGCCGCUGGGGCCUACCGGCGGAAGGGUCCGUCCCCCGCUGGUAGUUUGUUCCCGGUGGUUGCAUGUCUUCCAGGAUGAUCUUCUUAGAGGGACUAUUUGUGACAAGCAAAUGGAGGUUCGAGGCAAAAACA
rnacentral:rRNA from 1 species